rnacentral:misc_RNA from 1 species
UCAACCAUCAAGCCUGGCUUGUCGUUGGACCCCUUUGUGGCUGAAAUACGCGGCAGGUUCAAAAGAUAAUGACGGCGUCGUGUUUGACCCUAGAUGCAACGAGCUUUUUAAUAGCACGCAUUGAAGUGGUCGAUCGACCCGGUCUUUAACCAUCAUUUUCUAA